rnacentral:rRNA from 1 species
UACGAAGGGGGCUAGCGUUGCUCGGAAUGACUGGGCGUAAAGGGCGCGUAGGCGGAUGGCACAGUCAGAUGUGAAAUUCCCGGGCUUAACCUGGGGGCUGCAUUUGAUACGUGUUGUCUUGAGUUCGGAAGAGGGUCGUGGAAUUCCCAGUGUAGAGGUGAAAUUCGUAGAUAUUGGGAAGAACACCGGUGGCGAAGGCGGCGACCUGGUCCGAUACUGACGCUGAGGCGCGAAAGCGUGGGGAGCAAACAGG